GGGAUCGGAGGUUCCCCCCAAUACAGCCUAAAGAAUUACCAUAUUUGGAAUGCACAGUUUCCAUUCUAGUUGAUUAUGAAAUAGCUACAAAUUAUCUUGAUUGGGAGGUAGGUAAGCAUGGUAUUAUUAUUGAAUUUAAUGAUCCCGACUAUAAUACUAGACGAAGUGCUACGUAUCUGCCUGAGGUCGCUGCCCAUGAAGGUUGGACAAAAAUCGAGGCAAUUGACUCAUUGAUGCGGAAGGCAGGAUAUAAUGGUGCAAUCACCGAGUCACUGCGUAAGCGUAUUCGAUUGACCCGGUACCAAAGCACCCUAUUCACCAUGCACUACGGUGAGUAUGUCUCCUACGUUAAAACCACCCGAGGCACGGCUCCUUCCGUGGUCGGGGCUAAAGCCUAACAACAGUCAAUUCUUCCAAACGGCUUUAGCUAAAUUCUGCAAAGCCUAAGUUUGGGUACUGAACUGAAACAAAAUAUAGGAUGCUUGAAUGAUAUGUCUUGUGUUCCAUUCAUCCCAAG
rnacentral:misc_RNA from 1 species